UACGGAGGGGACUAGCGUUGUUCGGAAUUACUGGGCGUAAAGCGCACGUAGGCGGAUUUGUAAGUCAGGGGUGAAAUCCCGGGGCUCAACCUCGGAACUGCCUUUGAUACUGCAAAUCUCGAGUCCGGAAGAGGUGAGUGGAAUUCCUAGUGUAGAGGUGAAAUUCGUAGAUAUUAGGAAGAACACCAGUGGCGAGGCGGCUCACUGGUCCGGUACUGACGCUGAGGUGCGAAAGCGUGGGGAGCAAACAGG
rnacentral:rRNA from 1 species